GCAGGAGUGGCGGAAUGGCAGACGCGCUAGAUUCAGAUUCUAGUGAGAAAAACUUCUCUUGUGGGUUCAACUCCCAUCUUCUGCACCA
rnacentral:tRNA from 1 species